rnacentral:rRNA from 1 species
CCUACGGGAGGCAGCAGUGGGGAAUCUUGCGCAAUGGGCGAAAGCCUGACGCAGCCAUGCCGCGUGAAUGAUGAAGGUCUUAGGAUUGUAAAAUUCUUUCACCGGGGACGAUAAUGACGGUACCCGGAGAAGAAGCCCCGGCUAACUUCGUGCCAGCAGCCGCGGUAAUACGAAGGGGGCUAGCGUUGCUCGGAAUUACUGGGCGUAAAGGGAGCGUAGGCGGAUAGUUUAGUCAGAGGUGAAAGCCCAGGGCUCAACCUUGGAAUUGCCUUUGAUACUGGCUAUCUUGAGUUUGGGAGAGGUGAGUGGAACUCCGAGUGUAGAGGUGAAAUUCGUAGAUAUUCGGAAGAACACCAGUGGCGAAGGCGACUCACUGGCCCAAUACUGACGCUGAGGCUCGAAAGCGUGGGGAGCAAACAGGAUUAGAUACCCUGGUAGUCCACGCCGUAAACGAUGAGUGCUAGUUGUCGGCAUGCAUGCAUGUCGGUGACGCAGCUAACGCAUUAAGCACUCCGCCUGGGGAGUACGGUCGCAAGAUUAAAACUCAAAAUGAAUUGACGG